GGGGAUAUAGCUCAGGGGCAGAGCACUUGUUUUGCAUACGGAGGGUCCCAGGUUCAAUCCCUGGCAUCUCCA